GCGGGCGUAGUUCAGUGGUAGAACACCAGCUUCCCAAGCUGGAUACGCCAGUUCGAUUCUGGUCGCCCGCA
rnacentral:tRNA from 2 species